ACAGACCAUAAAAGGAAGAUGCUGAGUGUGGAGGUACACCCUGAAAUCCUAGCACUGAAGAGACACAGCAGCUGCCUGACUUUGACAUAAGCCCGUGCUAUACUAUGAAUUUCAGCCUGCUACAGAGCAAGACCCCAUCUCUAAAACAAGCAAACCAAAUAAACAAAUAAUGAGAUGUGUCAAUUGGAGUGUUUUGAAGUUUUUUGGUUUUUGUUUUGUUUUGUUUUGUUCUUGGUGGAAAAGAAUAUUUUAAGUCCCAGAUCCAUUGCUAGCAAAGCCCAUUUUUCUCAAAUGGAGUAGUGGUGUGAUUUGAAGGCCCCAUUUGAUCAAGUAGACAUUGUGUAUUAGUCAGGGUUUUCUAGAGUAACAGAACUUAUGGAAUAUAUAUAUAAUGGAAAAUUAUUGUCAUGACUUACAGUAUACAGUCCAACUAACCCAACAAUGGGAAGCUAUGACUGGGAAGUUCAAUAACCAAGUAGUUACUCAGUCCCAUGAGGCUAGGCAUUUUAGCUGGUCUUCUGUAUAAGAUGAAAUCCUGAAGAAGUAGGUUCUAGCUGAUGUGCUGGCAAGUUAAGUGUAAGCAGGUAAAGAAGGGACCUUUCCUCUGUUCCUGUCCUUAUGUAGGCCUCCAGCAGAAGGUAUGGAACUUGCUCUGUCCCAGGCUGGCCUUGAAUUCUGCUUGCGUCUGUUUCAUGGGAUUAAAGGCACAUAUAACUUUGCCAGGGCCUAAGCUUUUUAAACCACUAUGCCUCAAGAUCUGGAUCAAAAUCUAUGCCUUCCAGGCUCAGGAUCUGGAUCACAGGUGUGAUCCACUUCUGGAUUUUAGUUCAUUCCAGACAUAGUCAAGUUGACAACUAGGAAACAGCCAUCACACCUUGGAACCAGCUCUUUCUUCUCACUGGUUACAGAGAAAAGCUGUUUCUUCUCAAAGACAUUUGGUUUGGUUUUUUUUUUAUUUUUUUUAUUUUUUUUCCUAUUUAGAACAGUUGAUACUUCAUUAUAAUUCUGUCUUCAUACCCAACAGUACAGAGAACAACCAUAAAUAUGAGGCUUAUUGUCUCAGAAAUAAAAAGUGAAAGGAUUGAAACCCUGAGGGCAACCAGAGUUUCAUCUCCAUUUUUUUUUAAUCUUGAAAUGAUGACCUGCCAUGGACUUUCUGGUUCACAUUUACUCCUGUAAAUAUAUCACCUGUUCCGCCAUUCUAGGGAAGGGAGAUACUGCCCUGACGGAGGCAUCAUGAACUUUAUACUAAAGCAUAUUAUGUAAGUAUGUGGAGGCAGUACUCUUUUUCAUUUGUCUUCUUUCACAAGUGCAUCUUUCUAAACUAAAAAUGUUACCUGAGCAUAUGAUCAAAAUUAAAGGAGUGUGCCAAAAUUGCAAAGGCCGGCAUUUUAUUCCUCAUUACUUUUAGUGAGAUACUGCCUCUUUCAUGGCAGGGCAUUUAGGGGUAUAUAGACACCAGAGGUACCCUCUUAGUUGUGACCAACAAAAGUUAUUCACUAUGCCUUUAUGGUUAACCCCUGUAUGCUAAACCCACUCCCAUUUUAAAGCUGGUAACAUUGUCUAACUUCACAUUUUGACCAUUAAGAAAAACGAAACUGCAAAAUACAAAUACUUCAGAAAUGUACCCAUAACAUACAUGUUUAAAAAUACUACAAGCAUGAUACAAUUGAUAGGGGAUGGAAUGUAUUUUAAAAAUACAUUAGGGGCCAAAAGGCACCAGCCACCAAGCCCGAGGCCUUAGUUUGUUCCCUGUGACUCACGCACGUGGUGGUUCUGAGAUCAGCCCAUGCUCAAUGUCAUGAGCCCCUACACACGUGGACACACAAACACAUAGAAAACAAUACAGAACAAUAUCAUUGUUCUGUUGAAGCAGAAAGCAAAGCGGAAUUAAGUCCAGUUCCUGUUCUUAGAAACAUCUUUAUAACCACUCCAUAAACCUGCUGUCCCUUGAUCAGCUUUAACCUGCUUUUCAGUAGCUGACAAUUAGCAUGUGUUAAUCUUCUCUAAGUCUAGCAUUUUAAAGAGAGUGCCAGUUCUCAGUCCACAGUAUUAUCUUUAUC
rnacentral:lncRNA from 1 species